rnacentral:lncRNA from 1 species
UCUAUCUACUUCUAUAAACUCAACUGACACCCUCGGAUGAAGAAUCGAACACUGCUCAACAUUGUCUUCGAUGAUGCACGUAUGGAGAAACUCCCUUCUGACAAUCACCAACCCCGUUAAAGGAUAUUGGGGAUGGCAUAACUGAUUUUCUCUCAGAAAUCCAUUCACCUCCAAGAUAUUCUUUUAAAGAAGGUCGGAAAGCUAUCUUGGGGGAGGCAAAAGAUGGCCCUCUAGAAAGGUCAAAGACCUUUCUACAGAGGACAAUACAUUAAAAGCCCCUACGGCGACCAUCGUUGCGGCCCCAUGAUUGAAAUAGUAGAAUUUUCUAAUGCCUCGAUGCCAAAGUGGGACGUUCACUGGCGCAUUCCCUCAAAGUGCUUUGCGACUGACCAGAGGAAGGAGAAGACUCCCCCAGAUAGAGGAAAGCUCCGACAACCCCUUGACAUCGAAUGAAGUGGCACC